GUGCUCGAUUCAGCAGCACAUAUACUAAAAUUGGAACAAUAUCUAGAAGAUUAACAUGGUCCCUGUGCAAGGAUAACAUGAAAAUUUGUGAAGUGUUCCAUAUUUAA